rnacentral:rRNA from 1 species
UUGGAGGGCAAGUCUGGUGCCAGCAGCCGCGGUAAUUCCAGCUCCAAUAGCGUAUAUUAAAGUUGUUGCAGUUAAAAAGCUCGUAGUUGAAUUUCGGGGUCUGUCUAUCGGUCGGGCUUCACUGUCCGUACUGGUUUGAUGGAUUCUUACCUUCUGAAUAACCAUCAUGCCAUUAGUUUGGUGCGUUGGGGAAGCAGAGCUAUUACCUUGAAAAAAUUAGAGUGCUUAAAGCAGGCUAGCGCUUGAAUAGAUUAGCAUGGAAUAAUGAAAUAGGACGGCAUGGUUCUAUUUUGUUGGUUUCUAGGAUCACCGUAAUGAUUAAUAGGGAUAGUUGGGGGCAUUAGUAUUCAAUUGUCAGAGGUGAAAUUCUUGGAUUUAUUGAAGACUAACUACUGCGAAAGCAUUUGCCAAGGAUGUUUUCAUUAAUCAAGAACGAAAGUUAGGGGAUCGAAGACGAUCAGAUACCGUCGUAGUCUUUAACCAUAAACUAUGCCGACUAGGAUCGACGAU